GGGACUGUGGCUCACUGGUAGAGCGCUCACCUAGCACGUGCGAGGGCCCUGAGUUCGAUCCUCAGCACCA
rfam:Ictidomys tridecemlineatus contig022002, whole genome shotgun sequence.